rnacentral:rRNA from 1 species
AUACGGAGGGCGCAAGCGUUACUCGGAAUCACUGGGCGUAAAGCGCGCGCAGGCGGCUAUUUAAGUUGGAUGUGAAAGCCUACGGCUCAACCGUAGAACUGCAUCCAAAACUAUUUAGCUAGAGUGUGGGAGAGGAAGAUGGAAUUAGUUGUGUAGGGGUAAAAUCCGUAGAGAUAACUAGGAAUACCAAAAGCGAAGGCAAUCUUCUGGAACACUACUGACGCUGAGGCGCGAAAGCGUGGGGAGCAAACGGGAUUAGAAACCCUAGUAGUCC